GUGCUUGCUUUGGCAGCACAUAUAAUAAAAUUGGAACGAUACAGAGAAGAUUCGCAUGGCCCCUGUGCAAGGAUGACACGCAAAUUUGUGAAGCGUUCCAUAUUAAA
ensembl:snRNA U6 U6 spliceosomal RNA